CGAACCGACGUUUCUACAAAGAGACUCCUCAAAGGUAGACUGGACUGAGGUCUUAAGUAGAGUUUUCAACAGGUCACUACUAGGAUGAUUCAUAUUCUCAUCAAUUAUAUCCAAGUGCGAAGCAAACACAACUAACAAAGGAAGUAAUGGACCGAAUAGUUAGAGUUAAAAUGAGUUCGGAUCAUGCGUGCAUGGUGAAUGUAAGCGGUGUUGCGAUUCCGACGGCUCUCAACUUUUCUGAGUAGAAUUCCCCAUCGACCCCUUGAAGUCGAUAAACCUCAACAAUAGCAUUUUUUGGCAGAAUUCGAUUAUUGUACAAGUUGCAAGCCGAAGUCAACGAGCUGAACAAGCAUUGGUCUUAUCUCUAGCUAUG
rnacentral:lncRNA from 1 species